CCUUCCGCCCGCGCCGCCGCCUCGGUCACCGCCCCGGCGCCGGAACCGCCGCGCGCGUCAUCACCCUCAGCCCUCACCCCUCAGCGUUCAGCCUUCAGCCUGACCCGCCUCGCAAGGUUCCUGUGAGCAUCUCAAGUGCUGUGGCCUUGAGAGUAAAGAAAAUGAAGACAAUCCAGACAGACUGAGAAUUUAAGAACAGUGGUGCUGGCUGGGGAGAAGUGCCUGGAGUUACAGCAGAAGUUUGACUCAGUAGGUGGAGCUAGAAGCCGGCAAUCCUCUCACAGCUAAAACUGGUCUCCCUUCCCACCACUACGGAAAAGAAAUUUUACUAAAGCUUUUGAGUCUUAAAUGUAUAUGUCCUAAAACAGAUAUGUAUUUUUUCAUUCUACAGUAAAAAUAAAGUGAUUCUUUUCGUGUGAUUUAUUUCA